ACGGGUGAGUAAUGCAUCGGGAUCUACCCUGACGUGGGGGAUAACCUCGGGAAACCGGGACUAAUACCGCAUACGUCCUACGGGAGAAAGCGGGGGACCUUUUAGGCCUCGCGCGGCAGGACGAACCGAUGUGCGAUUAGCUAGUUGGCGGGGUAAUGGCCCACCAAGGCGACGAUCGCUAGCUGGUCUGAGAGGAUGAUCAGCCACACUGGGACUGAGACACGGCCCAGACUCCUACGGGAGGCAGCAGUGGGGAAUAUUGGACAAUGGGCGCAAGCCUGAUCCAGCAAUGCCGCGUGUGUGAAGAAGGCCUUCGGGUUGUAAAGCACUUUUAUCAGGAGCGAAAUCUGCAUGCUUAAUACGUGUGCAGUCUGACGGUACCUGAGGAAUAAGCACCGGCUAACUUCGUGCCAGCAGCCGCGGUAAUACGAAGGGUGCAAGCGUUAAUCGGAAUUACUGGGCGUAAAGGGUGCGUAGGCGGUUCGUUAAGUCUGUCGUGAAAUCCCCGGGCUCAACCUGGGAAUGGCGAUGGAUACUGGCGAGCUAGAGUGUGUCAGAGGAUGGUGGAAUUCCCGGUGUAGC
rnacentral:rRNA from 1 species